AUGACCUCCUUUACGAGAUCUUCCUCCGCCUCCCGUCCCUCCCGAGCCUCAUCCGAGUGGCCCUCGCCUGCCGCACCUUCCUCCAAGCUAUCUGUUUGUCCCCCGCCUUCCGCCGCUGCUUUCAAGCGCUCCACCCGCCCGAACUCCUUGGCUUCUUCAUUCAAUCUAGCUACACCGACGUCCCUCCCUUUGCCCCCCUCCGCAACUGCUCCGACCCCGACAUAUCCGCCGCCAUUCGUGGCUCCGAUCUCUCACUCACCUGCCUCUCGGAAGACAUCGAUUCCUCUCCCGACUGGGAUCUAG
rnacentral:rRNA from 1 species